rnacentral:rRNA from 1 species
GUAUGAAUGGCCACACGAGGGCUUUACUGUCUCUUACUUCCAAUCCGUGAAAUUGACCUUCCCGUAAGAGGCGACAAAUAUGACAAUGAUACGAGCAGACCCUAUGGAGCUUUAAUUAACCGACCCAAAGAGAUCUUGAUAAUCAACCGACAGGGAUAACAUACCUCUACCAUGGGCCGACAAUUUAGGUUGGGGUGACCUCGGAGAAUAAAACAACCUCCGAGUGAUUUAAAUCUAGACUAACUAGUCGAAAGUACUACAUCACUUAUUGAUCCAAAAACUUGAUCAACGGAACAAGUUACCCUAGGGAUAACAGCGCAAUCCUAUUUUAGAGUCCAUAUCGACAAUAGGGUUUACGACCUCGAUGUUGGA